GUGGCUUUGUAUUCAACCACGGCCUGCCACCAAAUCACUGGUGACCUGGAGCAGUCCCUAACUGGAACUCUAAGUUACAGUUUCCUUAUCUGGAAAGUGGGGAUAAUCACAGCCCUGACCUCACAAGUGGCUGGAAGGACUCUGAGACGAUCUGUGUACAGUGCUUACCGCAGGAAGCGCCCAAUAAAUAUUAUUAUUAUUGUUGUGACGUCGAGCUGCUCAUGACACGCUUUAAGACCCUGGAGAAAUCAUCCAGUUCUUUGGAUGACGUCUCCCCUGAAACACCCACCCCUCCCGCUGUGAUACAAAUUAUAUCUUAUAUUUCAAGACUUCUUCAGUACAUCAGCAAACAUCUAUUGAGCACCACCGUGUUCCAUGCCUGCUACCAAGUCCUGGAGAUACAGCAGUGGACAAAACAGAAAGACAGUUAAAAGCCCUCUGUUCUCGUGGAGCCUGUAUUCUAGCUGAGGAGAAUCAGACAUUUGAGGUCAUUUCAGUAAGUGAGCAGGGCUCCAAAGGAAAUAAAGCAGAAGGUGCGAUGGAGAGAGCCUGGGAGGUCCCCUCUGAUGGGGUGACAUUUGAACAGAAGCCCCAACAAAGAGGAGAAGCCCACGUGCAAAGGCAGGGGGUGGGAAAUGGUGCUCCAGGCAGAGGGAACUGCAGGUGCUAAGGCCAGGCUGUGGGAUCCUCUCGUUGAAGGCUCAGCAAGGGCAGUGUGGCUGGAGCAGAGGGAGUGAGUGAGGGGGAGAGGGGUGGGAGGUGAGCUUAGUGGGGCCCCCACCCUGGAGCAGCUCUCCUAAUGCCAGGCUCUUCCUGAAAGUGGCCACCUGGUGCCUGACUUCUACCUGUAGGGACAGCCACCUGAGAAGGGCCCGGCUUCUUCCCACCCGGGGUGCCAAGGCCCUGGAGCUGCCUGCUCACAGUAAAAAGCCUCAUUCCCAGGAACCCCAUGGAAGGCCAGGCUCCCCCCGGCUGCCCUUUGCCCAGGCUGCUGCUGGGACUCCCCUGCCCCUCCCGAAGGAUGUGAGCCCUCCCUGCCUCUCAGCCACUCGGAGUGUGGGCAUCUGCAUCUCGGAGUCUCAGUGUGCCCACCUGUGAGAUGGGCACCAUGUUGCCUCAGGGAGGGAGUAAAAGGAGGAAAGGAGCUCUGGCCUUAGUAUCUGUCCCCUGAACCCUGGAAGAAGGAAAACAUCUGGGGCUCACUGGGGACCAGGCUGUGCGUUCAUAGCUGGGUGGAGAGCUCAGGCGUGUGUAUGUGCGUGUGUGCAUGUGUGUGCAUCUGUGUGUGUGUGCAUGUGUGUGUGUGCACGUAUGGGGUGUGGGAGACAGGGGGUGGCAUCAAGACCCAGGAGCCACAAGAGUGAGGAAGAGGGAAGAGGUGGGCUUCUGGGGACAGGGGGCAGUCAGAGCCUGGUUCUGGGCCCAAGUGGGGAUUGGGGCACGGGGAAUAAGAGGCCUGCCCUCCCUCCUGGGGGCCCAGCGGCAGCCAGGGAUCACUUCCUGGGAUGUUUUAAAAAUCAUUUACUUCUAGAAAAGUCUUUCAUCAUUUCCCUUCAGGUCACGGAGGCUGAGAUGGCUGACGGCGUAGGUGGCUGUGGCCUGAUGUGUCACUUUUGGCCUCCAACUGAGGCAACAGGGGGACGAAGUGGCUGCGAGGCGCAGUAUCUGGCAUAUAUGAGAGAAACAACCACAGUGCCCUGGGGAGGGGCCAGGUUCUCACCCCGCAUCGCCAGGGUCUCAACGUGUCUCCCAAAGGUCAUGUGGGCCUUUAAGAGGUGGUUGGGUCCUGAGAGCUCUGUCCUUAUGAAUGGAUUAGUGUCGUUAUUGCAGGAGUGGCUUCAUGAUGGAGAGAGUGGAUUUGUCAUGAAAGUGAGUUUGGCCAUUCCUUGCUGCUCACGUGCCACCUCUUGCCAUGGGAUGCCCUCGCCAUGGGAUGCCCUCGCCAUGGGAUGCCCUCUCCAUGGGAUGACAGCAAGAAGGCCCCUGCUUGAGUAAGCCCCUCCAUCUUCGGCUCUCUGGCCUCCAGGACUGUUAGAAAUACAUCUCUGUUCUUUGUAAAUUACCCAGGCUGUAGUAUUCUGUUAUGGCAACACAAAACAGACUAAGAUACCAUUAUGUGGAUGAAGAAACAGGCCCAAGAGGUGAGGAGUGUUGUCCAGGUCUUCUGGCCAGAGAAGCGGCAGAGAUGGGAUUUGAACCCUGGGACUGUGUGGCUUGUGACCACUCCUAGCUUCAGCCCUGCCUGGUGCUGAGGGGUUUGGGGCCAGGACGAUGGCCAGAUAUUUGGGCACACUGGGCCCUACCCACCUGGAAAGAGGCUGGCCUGGGGUUGAAUCAGAACCAGAAGUGACUCAGGCUAGGACCCCUCUGCACCCUCCCUCAGGCCGUGGGUAAUUACUUGCCCAGGUUAAUAGGGCCCACUUCCCGCCACCUUUCAUCAAGGCUCCUGGAGCUGCCAGGCAGUAAUUAACCCUCACAGCACCCUUCUGAAGUCAGCACUGGAGGCAGACGUGUGAUGAAACUCGUUUAUUACAGGAAGUACCAGUUGGCCCAGAUGCUUCUCAUCUUUAGAGUUGAGCUGCAGGCUGGAGACGUGGAAGGCCCUCGCAGCACCUGCUCCCAACCUCUCACCUCACGAAAGCGCAGGAACAUGGGUUUGGAGCCAAUGAAAAGUACUGGAAUCUGGCUCUGCUCUGUGAUCCUGGGCAAGUCACUGCCCCUCUCUGGGCUUCAGUUUCCUCCUUGGUAACACAGAAUGAUUAUACCUACCCCUUGGGUUUGUUGACCUGAAUCUACCCCUGAGUCAUUGCCUUUCCUUCUUGCUGCAGCCCCACUGGCCCCUUGACAGUUCCUUGAACACAACAAGCCCUUUCCCACCUCAGGGCCUUUGCACAUGCAGUGCCAGAUGCCUGGAAUGUCCUUCCUUCCAAUCUCCCCGUGGCCGGCUCAUUCUCAUCUUUCUUGCCUCAAAUGUUACCUCCCCAACCUAGACAGCACCCCUGCCACCUCUUCACCCCGUCUUACUCUUCUUCAAGCAUUUCUGGAGGUAUCUUGCUAUUUAUCUUGUUUGUAUCUUUUUCAGCUCCAUGAGGGCAGGGGAUUUUGUCUGUUUCAUUCACAAUGUGUUCCCAGAGCUCAGCACAGUGUCAGGCACACACUAGGUGCUUGAGAAACAAUUGCUUCCUCUACCUCUUCCCCUGCUAACCCUAAGUUCAGCUAACUGGCUAUGCGACCCUGGGGAUUGCUUUUCACCUCUCUGGUCCCUUAUUCUCCCUUGUGGACAAAGGAUGGCCUGGGCAUGAGUUUCUUCAAGGACUCAGGUAGCAAUGAAAUCCCUGGGACCCUAGCCUCAGUAUCUCCCCAGGCAAUGGGGUAGAGAGCAAGAAGGCAGGUGAGCGAGGACCAGCCUCCGCCGCGCAGACACCCUCUUUCCGGCUUCUCUGUCCUCCUACUUUGCCCUGGGUUUGUGGACUUACUCUGGGCAGAUCUCCACGACCAACCACCCCCUCCCUUGGCAUGUCUGUCAGCACCCUUGGGGGAAAGAAUUUGGAAAGGGGAGGGAGAAAAAGAAAGCAGGGUGCGAGGGGAUGGUUCCCACACCUGUGUAAAUAAUUUGUCAUCUUAAAAUGCUCAAGUAUGCUCACCUUUAAUGCCUGGUUCUUGGGCUUGUUUUCCUUGGCAAGGCCCCCACGGGAGUGGAAUUUCGGCCAAAGGGAGCCCAAUUGUCAUCUUCUAAGCAUGUUCCCAGGCCAGGGGCCAGGGAGGGCUCUGGCUGAUGCUCCACUUCCGUCCCCAGAAGUGCUGGAACGUUCCUGGGAUCUAGGGAGCAGCCUCCAGUCCUGGAAGCUGUCCCAGAAUUCUGGAAUGUUGGAAUUCAAACGGCCUCCUGCCCAUUUUCCGGAGGAGGAACAUGAGACCCAGAGAGAGGAAGGGGUUGGCCUGAGGUCAUACAAUGUGCAGAGACGAGCUAGAGUUUGCUGGGAGAAGGUGCGGGUGUGUGGACAAGUCAGCAUCUAUCUCCCAUUUUCAGGUAACAGCACCUCGACUUCCUACUGAAGAACCCCCUCUUCCCUUUUCUCAGUCCAUGAGGCUGGGGGUGCCCAGAGGCCUCUGUCUCCAGGGGUGGACAUGGGACCGGGUCUUGCUCUAGUGAUUGGUUCAGGGAUGGGCACAUGACUGAGCUUGCCCAAUGAAACUUGAUCCUGGGACUUUCGGGUUGGCCAUGAUUUGUGAAGGAGAUGCCAUUUUCCGUUGGAUGGACAGUGAGCAAGUGAACGCUUAGAGAAAAAGAGGACAAAACAAGGGAAAAGCCUGCCUGAGAGGAAGCAGCACAGAGCUGGACAGGAUUUGAACUCCUGGAUCCCACUGUACCUGAAAUUAGGCACCUUCAACUUUCUAGUUAUGUGAGCCACUGUCUUUCCCAUUUUUGGCUGAAAACAGUUGGGACUGGCUUUCUGUCCUUUGCGUACAGAAGGUGCUGACUGACCCCUGCCCCAUGGAAGAAGAUACUCCAGGCAGAGGAAAUAGUGUGUAUAGACACCCCAAAGCGAACGCCAAGCGGGGCACUCAUGUACCAAGGAGAAGAAGGAGGAGACACCUGGGUGCUGAGCUUAAGAGUUAGUCUGGUGGUCAAGAUGGGAAAGGGGGUAUCUUUAGCAGAGGGAACAACCAAUGCAAAAGCUUGGAGGGGUGACUAGUUAGUGAAGAUCAACUAUGUGCUGAGCUCGUGUUGGGUGGCAAGGGACACAGACGAAAAGGGCACAGUGGAACCCAGCUAUUCCUCACCUGCUCCAGCGCAGUGCAGGCUUGUCUGCUUUUGGAGCCGAGCCUGGACACCUCCGCGUCCUUCCCCUGGCAGAGUGCUGCCAGCACGCUGUCUCAGACUCUCCAGCAUCUCCUGGUUGAUGUACAUCACGGGGACCACACAAGAUUAUUUUAUAGGCUGCACAGGCAAAGCAUAAAAUCACCUCGGGUCACAUAGUGUGAGUUAUUCUCUCUGCAAAUUCUUUACAGUCUUUCCUUUAUAUCCAGAAGAGUCUCUGUGUGGUGCUAACUUGCCUCUAACACCAAAUACUUGCUAAUCUCCCUUUGUGAAAAAGAGAGCAGGUCUCAGGCUCAUUCAUGUCUCAGGCACACAAUUGUAUCUAGCUAGACUUUUUGAAAUGUCCAGUAGAGCUGCAGCACAUAUGAAUGAGGUGUCCAGCUGGUCCCAGGCCUGUAAUCGGCACCCCAGUGAGCAGACUGGACAUCCCCACCCCCACAGCUGCCCUCUCUCCCCUCCACUCAUGUUCCUUCUAGGGACACCACGAUCCCGACUUGUAUCACCACAGAUGAGUUUCACAUGUUUUUGAAUUUUACAUCUUAUCUGUUUUCUGUUUCUAUACAAGUUUGCCUUUUUUGAAUUCCAUAUAAGUGGAAUUCUACAAUGUGUUAUCUCAAUUUGAGUCUGUUUUAUUUUUUUUUCCUGCUCAGCAUGAUGCUUUUGAGAUGCAUAUAUGCAGUUUUGUGUAUCCGUAGAUGGUUCUUUUUUAUUGCAGAAUAAUGUUCCAGGGUAUGGAUGUACCAAAGCUUGUUCAUCCAUUCACCAGCUGAGGGAUAUUUGGACUGUUUCCAGUUCUCAGCCAUUAUAAAUAAAGCCACUAGGCACAUUUGCAAACAGGUUUUUAUGUGAACAAAAAUUUUUGUUUAUCUUGGGUAAAUUUCUAGGAGUGGAAUUGCUGGGCCAGGUGGCCAAGUGUAUGUUUCACUUUAUCAGAAACUGCUGAGCUGUUUUCUAAGGUGUCUGUACCAUUUUUCAUCCCUACCAGCAAUGUAUGAAAGUGUCAGUUGCUUCGUAUUCUCACCAACACUUGGUGGUGUUAGUUUUUUUUGUGUGUAUGUGUGUUUUACUUUUAGUCAUUCAAAUAGGUGAUAAUAGUAUCUCAUUGUGGUGUUAGUUUGCAUUUCCCUAAUGACUAAUGAUGUUGAACAUCUUUGUAUGUGUUUCUUUGCCAUCCAUAUAUUUUCUUUGGUGUAGUAUCUGUUCAAACUUUAUGUCAGUUAAACAAAAAACCCAAUUGUUUUCUUCUUAAUUGAUUUGGAGAGUUCUUUAUAUAUAUUCUGGAUACUAGUCAAGCCUUUGUCAAAUAUGUGAUUUGCAAAUAUUUUCUCCUGCUCUGUGGCUUGUCUUUUUAUUCUUUCAAUAGGUAGACUUUAAUAACAUCGUUUUGUUUUCUUUGUAAGUAUUUUUCUGGUUAUCUUUGAUUUGCGGCAUGUAUUCUUUGGUUUUUGAAUUUUAGUGAUAACACCAAAUGUUUUCUUUUAAAAUAAAUUUAUUUAAGUAAAAACGUCAGUAAA